rnacentral:rRNA from 1 species
AAAUGAAUUGACGGGGGCCCGCACAAGCAGCGGAGCGUGUGGUUUAAUUCGAUGCAACACGAAAAACCUCACCAGGAUUUGACAUGUCGGAAGUAGUGAGCCGAAAGGGGAACUAACUGUUAAGCCAGUAACCGUCACAGGUGCUGCAUGGCUGUCGUCAGCUCGUGCCGUGAGGUGUAUGGUUAAGUCCUGCAACGAGCGCAACCCUCAUGGCUAGUUGUUUUCUCUAGCCAGACUGCCUCGCAAAACGGGGAGGAAGGUGGGGAUGACGUCAAGUCAGCAUGGCCUUUAUAUCCUGGGCUACACACACGCUACAAUGGGUGGUACAAUAGGUCGCAACAGUGCGAACUGAAGCUAAUCCCUAAAGCCAUCCUCAGUACAGAUUGCAGGCUGAAACCCGCCUGCAUGAAGUCGGAGUUGCUAGUAACCGCAAAUCAGCAUGUUGCGGUGAAUACGUUCUCGGGCCUUGUACACACCGCCCGU